UAGGGAAUCUUCGGCAAUGGACGAAAGUCUGACCGAGCAACGCCGCGUGAGUGAAGAAGGUUUUCGGUUCGUAAAACUCUGUUGUUAGAGAAGAACAAGGACGUUAGUAACUGAACGUCCCCUGACGGUAUCUAACCAGAAAGCCACGGCUAACUACGUGCCAGCAGCCGCGGUAAUACGUAGGUGGCAAGCGUUGUCCGGAUUUAUUGGGCGUAAAGCGAGCGCAGGCGGUUUCUUAAGUCUGAUGUGAAAGCCCCCGGCUCAACCGGGGAGGGUCAUUGAAAACUGGGAGACUUGAGUGCAGAAGAGGAGAGUGGAAUUCCAUGUGUAGCGGUGAAAUGCGUAGAUAUAUGGAGGAACACCAGUGGCGAAUGCGGCUCCCUGGUCUGUAACUGACGCUGAGGCUCGAAAGCUUGGGGAGCAAACAGG
rnacentral:rRNA from 1 species